rnacentral:rRNA from 1 species
UACAGAGGGUGCGAGCGUUAAUCGGAAUCACUGGGCUUAAAGGGCGCGUAGGCGGGCUGUCAAGUCUGGGGUGAAAUGCCGCGGCUCAACCGUGGAACUGCCUUAGAUACUGACGGCCUCGAGGAAGGUAGGGGCAUGCGGAACUGUAGGUGGAGCGGUGAGAUGCGUUGAUAUCUACAGGAACUCCGGUGGCGAAAGCGGCGUGCUGGACCUUUUCUGACGCUGAGGCGCGAAAGCUAGGGGAGCAAACGGG